UACGUAGGGGGCAAGCGUUGUCCGGAUUUAUUGGGCGUAAAGAGCGUGUAGGCGGUUUGGUAGGUCCGUUGUGAAAACUCGAGGCUCAACCUCGAGACGCCGGCGGAAACCAUCAGGCUAGAGUCCGGAAGAGGAGAGUGGAAUUCCUGGUGUAGCGGUGAAAUGCGUAGAUAUCUGGAGGAAUACCGGUGGCGAAGGCGGCAUCCUGGACCAUUACUGACGCUGAAUCGCGAAAGCUAGGGGAGCAAACGGG
rnacentral:rRNA from 1 species